GUUGAGAAUGACGAGAAUGCCAAUGCUUUUAGUUCCUACGGAAAUUAUUGGUUUGGUUGGGAACUGGUGGGAUGAGAUCAAUGAGUCGACUCGGUGGCAGGAUGGGAUCUUCUAUGCUCUCUGUGCUGCUUAUGCCCUUGUCUCCUCUGUUGCUCUGAUUCAAUUAAUAAGGAUUGAAUUGAGAGUGCCUGAAUAUGGUUGGACAACGCAGAAAGUUUUCCACCUUAUGAACUUCAUUGUGAAUGGAGU
rnacentral:misc_RNA from 1 species